AGCGAACGCUGGCGGCAGGCUUAACACAUGCAAGUCGAGCGGGCAUCCUUGUGAUGUCAGCGGCAGACGGGUGAGUAACGCGUGGGAACGUGCCCUUCGGUUCGGAAUAACUCAGGGAAACUUGAGCUAAUACCGGAUACGUGCGAGAGCAGAAAGGUUUAUCUGCCGAAGGAUCGGCCCGCGUCUGAUUAGCUAGUUGGUGAGGUUAUGGCUCACCAAGGCGACGAUCAGUAGCUGGUCUGAGAGGAUGAUCAGCCACACUGGGACUGAGACACGGCCCAGACUCCUACGGGAGGCAGCAGUGGGGAAUAUUGGACAAUGGGGGCAACCCUGAUCCAGCCAUGCCGCGUGAGUGAUGACGGCCUUAGGGUUGUAAAGCUCUUUUCUCCGGGACGAUAAUGACGGUACUGAGGAAUAAGCCCCGGCUAACUUCGUG
rnacentral:rRNA from 1 species